AAAGGUCCACAGAGUGUCCGGUGAAGCAGUUUGGCUAUAAACAAAGAACUUAAAGAGAAUGUUUUACGCCUCGUAGGUAAUUUUUAAACAUGAGUGGUGUCUCGUUUGUAUCAGAGACCGAAAUAGAGGAUGUACGGAAAAAGAAACAAGAAGAGUGGGAGAAAGUUAGAAAGGAAAGUGAUCCAAUAGAGUGCCCUGAGCCAGUUCAUGAUAAUAAGACCUUGUAUGAAAGACUGCAAGAACAAAAACAGAAAAAACACGAUGAAUGGGAUGAACAACAUCAGUUGA